AAAGAACCCCGGCGAGGGGAGUGAAAAAGAACCUGAAACCGUGUACGUACAAGCAGUGGGAGCACGCUUAGGCGUGUGACUGCGUACCUUUUGUAUAAUGGGUCAGCGACUUAUAUUCUGUAGCAAGGUUAACCGAAUAGGGGAGCCGAAGGGAAACCGAGUCUUAACUGGGCGUUAAGUUGCAGGGUAUAGACCCGAAACCCGGUGAUCUAGCCAUGGGCAGGUUGAAGGUUGGGUAACACUAACUGGAGGACCGAACCGACUAAUGUUGAAAAAUUAGCGGAUGACUUGUGGCUGGGGGUGAAAGGCCAAUCAAACCGGGAGAUAGCUGGUUCUCCCCGAAAGCUAUUUAGGUAGCGCCUCGUGAAUUCAUCUCCGGGGGUAGAGCACUGUUUCGGCAAGGGGGUCAUCCCGACUUACCAACCCGAUGCAAACUGCGAAUACCGGAGAAUGUUAUCACGGGAGACACACGGCGGGUGCUAACGUCCGUCGUGAAGAGGGAAACAACCCAGACCGCCAGCUAAGGUCCCAAAGUCAUGGUUAAGUGGGAAACGAUGUGGGAAGGCCCAGACAGCCAGGAUGUUGGCUUAGAAGCAGCCAUCAUUUAAAGAAAGCGUAAUAGCUCACUGGUCGAGUCGGCCUGCGCGGAAGAUGUAACGGGGCUAAACCAUG
rnacentral:rRNA from 1 species